rnacentral:rRNA from 1 species
AGAGUUUGAUCAUGGCUCAGGAUAAACGCUGGCGGCGUGCCUAACACAUGCAAGUCGCACGUCCUGCUGUCUUUCGGGAGGGCAGGGAGUGGCGGACGGGUGAGGAACACGUGGGUGACCUACCUUCCAGUGAGGAAUACCGGCGAGAAAUCGCCGACAAGACCGCAUACGCUUCCCGGGUCAUACCGGGAAGGAAAGCUUUUUCGAGAGGAGAGGCGCUGGAAGAUGGGCCCGCGGCCGAUUAGCUGGCUGGUGGGGUAAUGGCCUACCAGGGCUGCGAUCGGUAGCUGGUCUGAGAGGACGAUCAGCCACACUGGGAUUGAGAACGGCCCAGACUCCUACGGGGGGCAGCAGUGAGGAAUUUUCGGCAAUGGGGGCAACCCUGACCGAGCAACGCCGCGUGCAGGACGACGGCCUUCGGGUUGUAAACUGCUUUUCUCUGGGACGAGAGACGGACGGUACCAGAGGAAGAAGCCCCGGCUAACUACGUGCCAGCAGCCGCGGUAAUAC